rnacentral:tmRNA from 1 species
GGGGCUGAUUCUGGAUUCGACGGGAUUUGCGAAACCCAAGGUGCAUGCCGAGGGGCGGUUGGCCUCGUAAAAGCCGCAAAAAAUAGUCGCAAACGACGAAAACUACGCUUUAGCAGCUUAAUAACCUGCUUUGAAGCCCUCUCUCCCUAGCCUCCGCUCUUAGGACGGGGGAUCAAGAGAGGUCAAACCCAAAAGAGAUCGCGCGGAUGCCCUGCACCGGGGUUGGAAGCGUUAAAACUAAUCAGGCUAGUUUGUUAGUGGCGUGUCCGUCCGCAGCUGGCAAGCGAAUGUAAAAGACUGGACUAAGCAUGUAGUACCGAGGAUGUAGGAAUUUCGGACGCGGGUUCAACUCCCGCCAGCUCCACCA